rnacentral:misc_RNA from 1 species
GAUGAAGAACGCAGCGAAAUGCGAUAAGUAAUGUGAAUUGCAGAAUUCAGUGAAUCAUCGAAUCUUUGAACGCACAUUGCGCCCCCCGGUAUUCCGGCGGGCAUGCCUGUUCGAGCGUCAUUUCAACCCUCAAGCACAGCUUGGUGUUGGGACUCGCGUUAAUUCGCGUUCCCCAAAUUGAUUGGCGGUCACGUCGAGCUUCCAUAGCGUAGUAGUAAAACCCUCGUUACUGGUAAUCGUCGCGGCCACGCCGUUAAACCCCAACUUCUGAAUGUUGACCUCGGAUCAGGUAGGAAUACCCGCUGAACUUAAGCAUAUCAAUAAGCGGAGGA